rnacentral:rRNA from 1 species
GAUGAACGCUGGCGGCGUGCCUAAUACAUGCAAGUCGAGCGAACAGACGAGGAGCUUGCUCCUCUGACGUUAGCGGCGGACGGGUGAGUAACACGUGGAUAACCUACCUAUAAGCCUGGGAUAACUUCUGGAAACCGGAGCUAAUACCGGAUAAUAUCUUUAACCGCAUGGUUCAAUAUUGAAAGACGGUUUUGCUGUCACUUAUAGUUGUAUCCGCGCCGCAUUAGCUAGUUGGUAAGGUAACGGCUUACCAAGGCAACGAUGCGUAGCCGACCUGAGAGGGUGAUCGGCCACACUGGAACUGAGACACGGUCCAGACUCCUACGGGAGGCAGCAGUAGGGAAUCUUCCGCAAUGGGCGAAAGCCUGACGGAGAAACGCCGCGUGAGUGAUGAAGGUCUUCGGAUCGUAAAACUCUGUUAUAAGGGAAGAACAAAUGUGUAAGUAACUAUGCACGUCUUGACGGUACCUAAGCAGAAAGCCACGGCUAACUACGUG